rnacentral:tRNA from 1 species
GCCUUCCCUGUGGCUCAGUUGGUAGAGCAUGGUGUUUGCAACGCCAGGGUUGUGGGUUUGAUUCCCACGGGGGGCC